CGGCUGCGGGGAGAGGGCGGGGGCGAUGCUGCCGGAGCCGCCGCCGCCGCCGCCGCCUCGAUGAGAGCCGCGCCGCACCGCGCAUAGCCGCACAGGCUGACAGGCAGAAGGACCGACUUCCCUCUCCCAGGCAUCCUCCCUGGGCUGCCGGGAGGCGGCGGCGGAGGAGGAGGAGGAAAAGGGAGAGAAGAAGGAGAGCAGGAAGGCGAGGAGGUGGACCUGGAUCCGUUUCUUUCGGCCAGGACGCGAGCGGCCCCAGCCUCCGCUACCCGCCAGCGCCGUCCCCUAUCCAUCAGCCCUCCUGCGCCCACCCGCGACCCCGG
rnacentral:lncRNA from 1 species